CGGCGGACGGGUGAGUAACACGUGGAUAACCUACCUAUAAGACUGGGAUAACUUCGGGAAACCGGAGCUAAUACCGGAUAAUAUAUUGAACCGCAUGGUUCAAUGUGAAAGACGGUUUUGCUGUCACUUAUAGAUGGAUCCGCGCCGCAUUAGCUAGUUGGUAAGGUAACGGCUUACCAAGGCAACGAUGCGUAGCCGACCUGAGAGGGUGAUCGGCCACACUGGAACUGAGACACGGUCCAGACUCCUACGGGAGGCAGCAGU
rnacentral:rRNA from 1 species